rnacentral:sRNA from 1 species
GGAGGCGGCGACGCCCCCCGACUUGGACCCGCUCCGGCAGGUCCUGCUGCCUCCGCGCCUCAUUCUCGAUGAUGCCACCUCAAGGCGAUCCGCAAGGGUCGCCU